rnacentral:rRNA from 1 species
AACGAACGCUGGCGGCAUGCCUAACACAUGCAAGUCGAACGAGACCUUCGGGUCUAGUGGCGCACGGGUGCGUAACGCGUGGGAACCUGCCCUUAGGUUCGGAAUAACUCCCCGAAAGGGGUGCUAAUACCGGAUAAUGUCUUCGGACCAAAGAUUUAUCGCCUUUGGAUGGGCCCGCGUUGGAUUAGCUAGUUGGUAGGGUAAAAGCCUACCAAGGCGACGAUCCAUAGCUGGUCUGAGAGGAUGAUCAGCCACACUGGGACUGAGACACGGCCCAGACUCCUACGAGAGGCAGCAGUGGGGAAUAUUGGACAAUGGGCGAAAGCCUGAUCCAGCAAUGCCGCGUGAGUGAUGAAGGCCUUAGGGUUGUAAAGCUCUUUUAACCGGGAUGAUAAUGACAGUACCGGGAGAAUAAGCGCCGGCUAACUCCGUG